rnacentral:rRNA from 1 species
UACGAAGGGGGCUAGCGUUGUUCGGAAUUACUGGGCGUAAAGGGCGCGUAGGCGGCACUGUUAGUCAGGCGUGAAAUUCCUGGGCUCAACCUGGGGACUGCGCUUGAUACGGCAGAGCUAGAGGAUGGAAGAGGCUCGCGGAAUUCCCAGUGUAGAGGUGAAAUUCGUAGAUAUUGGGAAGAACACCGGUGGCGAAGGCGGCGAGCUGGUCCAUUACUGACGCUGAGGCGCGGACAGCGUGGGGAGCAAACAGG